GAUGAAGAACGCAGCGAAAUGCGAUAAGUAAUGUGAAUUGCAGAAUUCAGUGAAUCAUCGAAUCUUUGAACGCACCUUGCGCCCUUUGGCUAUUCCGAAGGGCAUGCCUGUUUGAGUAUCAUGAACACCUCAACUCUCAUGGUUCGCCAUGAUGAGCUUGGACUCUGGGGGUCUUGCUGGCCUAUGGUCAGCUCCUCUCAAAUAAAUCAGCUUGCCAGUGUUUGGUGGCAUCACAGGUGUGAUAACUAUCUACGCUUGUGGUUUUCCAUCAGGUAACCUUCAGUGAUGGAGGUUCGCUGGAGCUCAUAAAUGUCCCUCCUCAGCGAGGACAGCUUUUUGAACGUUUGCUCUCAAAUCAGGUAGGACUACCCGCUGAACUUAAGCAUAUCAAUAAGCGGAGGA
rnacentral:misc_RNA from 1 species